GAUGAACGCUAGCGGCAGGCUUAAUACAUGCAAGUCGAGGGGCAGCAGGACGGUAGCAAUACCGUUGCUGGCGACCGGCAAACGGGUGCGGAACACGUACGCCACCUACCCAUAACUGGUGAAUAGCCCUCCGAAAGGAGGAUUAAUACACCGUAACCUCUUUGAGCGGCAUCACCUGAUGAGUAUAGCUCCGGCGGUUAUGGAUGGGCGUGCGCCUGAUUAGGUAGUUGGCGGGGUAACGGCCCACCAAGCCUGCGAUCAGUAACUGGUGUGAGAGCACGACCAGUCACACGGGCACUGAGACACGGGCCCGACUCCUACGGGAGGCAGCAGUAAGGAAUAUUGGUCAAUGGACGCAAGUCUGAACCAGCCAUGCCGCGUGAAGGAUGAAGGUCCUCUGGAUUGUAAACUUCUUUUAUAGGGGAAGAAACCUGGAUAUUCCUAUUCAGUUGACGGCACCCUAGAAAUAAGCACCGGCUAACUCCGUGCCAGCCGCCGCUGUAAAAC
rnacentral:rRNA from 1 species